GAUUUGGAAACAGCCACAUCUUUACAGGAAUCUGAACAACAUGCUGAGAAAGAAAAGACUUCAUCAUCAAAAAAGAGAAAAGCACCACCUCCUCCCACCCCUGCAAAACAGAGUGUUCCCGAGAGUGCUGAUCUAGCCUCCCCACUGGAAAAACCGAGCCCACUGACAACAAAACGUG